rnacentral:rRNA from 1 species
AUUGAACGCUGGCGGCAGGCCUAAUACAUGCAAGUCGAACGAGUGGCGGACGGGUGUGUAAUGUCUGGGAACCUGCCCGAUGGAGGGGGAUAACUACUGGAAACGGUAGCUAAUACCGCAUACCAUCAGAUUUGCCCUGAUGGGAUUCGCUAGUUGGUGGGGUAACGGCUCACCAAGGCAACGAUCCCUAGCUGGUCUGAGAGGAUGACCAGCCACACUGGAACUGAGACACGGUCCAGACUCCUACGGAAGGCAGCAGUGGGGAAUAUUGCACAAUGGGCGAAAGCCUGAUGCAGCAAUGCGGCGUGUAUGAAGAAGGCCUUCGGGUUGUAAAGUACUUUCAGCGGGGAGGCGUUACCCACAGAAGAAGCACCGGCUAACUCCGUGCCAGCAGCCGCGGUAAUUC